GAUUUGCAAAAUAAAAGCCACUGCAUCCCAUCGCCCACCCCACUGCAGCAUUCAAGAUUCAUCAGUUCACCGAGAGAAUUCCCACCAGGCAGAAAGCCAAAGGCCGAUCACUUUAAAAUGCAGGAUUCCAAUGCUUUAAAAGAACAAUCGCUGUUAUGACGUAAUCUGUAUUAGUAAAGUUCUGCACCCCCAACCCCCUCGUUCCUUGAACAUGAAAGAUUUGACUCAAUUAAAAAGAGUCUAAGUCCCUCAGUCAAGGAAGAUAUAAAACGAAAAGGUCCAUUUCUAACAGGAAAAAAGUCUGCAAGCUCCUUCAAGUUCAUCUUCCACAGGAGCCUUCAAGGAAGAAGAGGUAGGGAGGAUCUUUGUGAGUUCAAGGCCAGCCCAGUCUACAGAGCUAAUUCCAGACUAACCAGGGCUAUAAAGUAAGACCCUGUUUCAAAAUCAAAACAGAUUUCCAAGAGUUUGUAUAAAGAACAGUUUAUUCGUUAAGCUUUGAGCUCUCUCUUUGAAAUCCUGGACCUAAGAGUAGUAAGAAGACUGCGUGCAGUGUGUUGAAUAGUCUGUGGGACAUAGGAAGAUGACCUUGCAGUGCAGUGUCAUCUUUUGAUGAUGUGCAGUGAAGAGGUUUUAUUCAACUAAGUGCGUCUUUUGUUCAUAGUUCCAAACAUCCUGUGUGGAGGUAGCGUGGUCGAGCGGUCUAAGGCGUUGGAUUAAGGCUCUAGUCUCUCUGGGGACAUGGGUUUGAAUCCAACUAAUACUUUCUUUUGGGACAGGGCAGUUUUUGGUCCCUAAUAUCAUUCAGGAUUCUCCUCUCCCACCAUCUGCUUUUCCAGGCUACUGAUAACAGUUACACAUAUCAUACCCACUGCACACCCAAGUAAUUGCGUCAAUUAACAGUUAAUAAUCCCAUAAUGUGUCUGGUACUCACUCCUCUAACUCUGCAUGUCCACUCCAAGAAAUGCUCCAGCAACAUAUUCCACACCGACUAUAGGCUACAUCCUGUAGAUUCUGCAGUUCUUCCUUGUUACCUUAGUCUACGAAUGAAGGAUUACUGUGGAACAUCACUUUCCGAGUCGACAUGCAACUAGAGACAGAUCGGCCUAGGGCACUGUAGAAGUGGAUUCUUUCCUAUCCGGGAGACCGAAAACUAAGUCUUCAUCAUCACCACAGACUUCUUUCUCAUUUCAUUUUGAACCUGAAUCACGUUCAUCUGAGCUGUGUGUGUCUAAGAAAUGCCUUGCAAAAGGAAGCAAAAAUGAUCAAAAUAUAUUGUAUAAAUUUUUCAAUAAAAAUAAAUUAAUUAACAAUGCAA